rnacentral:lncRNA from 1 species
GGGUAGAACCUUCUGUUGCAAAGGAGAAUGACGAAUGCAAAAGUAAAAAAUUCAAAUGAAAGCGAAUAUAUAUAUAUAGGAUCCCUUAACGGUCCGGAUGAAGUCACUCAAAUCAAGAUCUUCUCAGAUGUCGACACAUGGCUACAUCAAGACUGACCAUUAAUCGGACAAUUCGAUGCAUCUGCUCUCAGAUCAUACCACCUCACAAUUAUCUGCGUGAACAACACAGACCCAAUGACAUCCAAACACGUAGCCAAAAUCUACUAGUCAAAAUUAAAUCAUCGGGAUUCUCCGGACGCUGAAUUAUCUUCCCGAAACAACAUCUCAAUGAUGAUCUCAUAGUUAUCGAAACAACAAAAUAGCUGGAGACCUUUGUAUUUCAAAAAAUCAUUAAUGACUGCAGCCGAAUCAGAGCUCGA